rnacentral:rRNA from 1 species
UACGUAGGGGGCAAGCGUUGUCCGGAUUUAUUGGGCGUAAAGAGCGUGUAGGCGGCCGCACAGGUCCGUUGUGAAAACUGGAGGCUUAACCUUCAGACGUCGAUGGAAACCGUGCGGCUAGAGUCCGGAAGAGGAGAAUGGAAUUCCUGGUGUAGCGGUGAAAUGCGCAGAUAUCAGGAAGAACACCCGUGGCUAAGGCAGCUCUCUGGGACGGUACUGACGCUGAGACGCGAAAGCGUGGGGAGCGAACAGG